AUUGAACGCUGGCGGCAGGCUUAACACAUGCAAGUCGAGCGGAGUGAUGGUGCUUGCACUAUCACUUAGCGGCGGACGGGUGAGUAAUGAUUAGGUAUCUGGCUACUAGUGGGGGACAACAUCUCGAAAGGGAUGCUAAUACCGCCUACGUCCUACGGGAGAAAGCAGGGGAUCACUUGUGACCUUGCGCUAAUAGAUGAGGCUAAGUCGGAUUAGCUAGUUGGUGGGGUAAAGGCCUACCAAGGCGACGAUCUGUAGCGGGUCUGAGAGGAUGAUCCGCCACACUGGGACUGAGACACGGCCCAGACUCCUACGGGAGGCAGCAGUGGGGAAUAUUGGACAAUGGGGGGAACCCUGAUCCAGCCAUGCCGCGUGUGUGAAGAAGGCCUUAUGGUUGUAAAGCACUUUAAGCGAGGAGGAGGCUCUUUUGGUUAAUACCCAAGAUGAGUGGACGUUACUCGCAGAAUAAGCACCGGCUAACUCUGUGCCAGCAGCCGCGGUAACAC
rnacentral:rRNA from 1 species